CUAAGGUUUUCCCAUUACAGUCCCGCACGCAGCCCCUGCAAGCAGGAAAGCAGGACCAGAUGACAGCCGGUGAGACACAUCUGUCUGCCGGUGCUGUCUUGCUCUUGUCCUAAACUCAUUACCACUUUUUCUAUCUUGGGAGAAAAUCUAAUUUGGGCUGUUUUAAUCAGAUGUUUAGCCACUGUGACCAAAAGAUCUGACAAGAUCAACUAGAGGUGGAAAAGUUUAUAUUGGGACUCACAGUUUCUGAGGUCUUGGUCCUUGGACAGCUGACUUCGUUGCUCUGGCCAGAAGGUGAGGCACAAGAAAGCAGAAGAGCAUGGUGGAGGAAAGCAGCUCAGAGAAAACUCCCCAAACCACAGACAAAAUGCAAACCCCAAACCCUGUCCCCAGCGACCCACCCCCUCCAGCUACAGGACACCCACCUGCAGUUACCACCAGUUAAUCCCUAUGAGUGACCUAAUGUGCCAAUUGGGCUAAGGCUCUCCUAACCAAUCAUUUCACCUCUAACCUUUCUUGCAUUGUCUCACAGGUGAGCUUUUGGGGGACACCACAUAUCUAAACCAUCACAUGCGCCAUCAGGGUAUGAUACAUCAAGAGGGUCCUCCUCAAUCAGUCCCAGCCUCCAAAACCAUGAGUCCAACAUACUUCUGCUGUUCAUGAAUGACCCAGUCUCUGGUAUCCUGCUACAGAAGCAGAACCUGACACAGGCCUUCUAUCACUUGGCCACUUGAAGUCCUCUCAUAUUCAUCAUUUUGGAAAGUGAUUUUAGAUGUAAAACAACUCAUCACCUUGAUUAAAGCUCUUUUUCUUGGC